rnacentral:rRNA from 1 species
GGUUAAGCGACUAAGCGUACACGGUGGAUGCCCUGGCAGUCAGAGGCGAUGAAGGACGUGCUAAUCUGCGAUAAGCGUCGGUGAGGUGAUAUGAACCGUUAUAACCGGCGAUUUCCGAAUGGGGAAACCCAGUGUGUUUCGACACACUAUCAUUAACUGAAUCCAUAGGUUAAUGAGGCGAACCGGGGGAACUGAAACAUCUAAGUACCCCGAGGAAAAGAAAUCAACCGAGAUUCCCCCAGUAGCGGCGAGCGAACGGGGAGGAGCCCAGAGCCUGAAUCAGUGUGUGUGUUAGUGGAAGCGUCUGGAAAGGCGCGCGAUACAGGGUGACAGCCCCGUACACAAAAAUGCACAUAUUGUGAGCUCGAUGAGUAGGGCGGGACACGUGG